UGUCGUCAGCUCGUGUCGUGAGAUGUUGGGUUAAGUCCCGCAACGAGCGCAACCCCUUAUCUUAAUUGCCAGUCAUUCAGUUGGGCACUCUAGCGAGACUGCCGGUAAUAACCGGAGAAGUGGGGAUGACGUCAAAUCAUCAUGCCCCUUAUGACCUGGGCUACACACGUGCUACAAUGGUUGGUACAACGAGUUGCGAGUCGGUGACGGCGAGCUAAUCUCUUAAAGCCAAUCUCAGUUCGGAUUGUAGGCUGCAACUCGCCUACAUGAAGUCGGAAUCGCUAGUAAUCGCGGAUCAGCACGCCGCGGUGAAUACGUUCCCGGGCCUU
rnacentral:rRNA from 1 species